rnacentral:rRNA from 1 species
UACGUAGGGUGCGAGCGUUAAUCGGAAUUACUGGGCGUAAAGCGUGCGCAGGCGGUUUUGUAAGCCAGAUGUGAAAUCCCCGGGCUUAACCUGGGAAUGGCAUUUGGGACUGCAAGGCUCGAGUGCGGCAGAGGAGACUGGAAUUCCUGGUGUAGCAGUGAAAUGCGUAGAUAUCAGGAGGAACACCGAUGGCGAAGGCGGGUCUCUGGGCCGAAAUUGACGCUGAGGAGCGAAAGCGUGGGGAGCGAACAGG